AUGUUAAGGUUAAAAAAAGCACUACACUAAUAAGGUAAAAUUAAAAUUUUGUUUGCAAAAUUGGGUUUUAAAAAUGCAGGAGGUAAUCAUUAUUUAGAUUUAUUCAAUGCCACAAUUAAUGGGUCAUUCAAUCAUAAUUUCUAAUGCCCUGUUUUUAAUUAAUUGAACCAGCUAGUAUUAGCUCGACAACUUAGGGUGGGGGUAUUCGAGGAAAAAAUGUGUUGUUAUUUGUUAACUGUCCGUUAAAUCGUUAACGGUUAACUUUCUACUCAAAUGCCCCACCCUAGAUGGCGAAGUCGUCGAGCUUGUACUCCAUCUCGCGUCAGUCAUGGGAGAUUGUUCAUGUGGACGAUGUGGUUGUGGACGUUCUUUUCUUUACCGUUUCCGUUUGUCUUGUCCGUUUUCUUUUCUUUCAUCAUUACGUUGGAAAAAGAUAUGGCGACCACGUUACGAGGUGUCGGGUAAUUACGAGGUGUCGGGUAACAAGAGGCGAUUUACCGGCUUACAAUUAAUGCUGUAUCAAAACAGCAGUGCAAAGCCCCGUGAAAUGUAGAUUGUGGUCGGGGAGAAGAACAGUUUUCCACAGUUAAACUAUAAUAUUUGGAUUGCACAGUCUGGAAUAAAUUGUUGGUGGUGGUGAUUGUUUAGAAAAAACUAUUGCCGUGGAGUACUGUAAGAUGUGGUACUACACAAGCUGCGCUGCUCAUCAGUUUGAACAGUUGAUUGCAGUUUUUCCACUACUGAAUUUGAAAAGGCCCUUUGUCAAGAGAAAAAUCCAAUCUAAGCCGAAAAAUUGAGACAGGUAACUCCACCAAUAUAGUUGACAAAAUAAUGUGAAUAAGGCGCCAGCCAAUCCUUUCUGGAAUUUUGCUAUGGACAUUUUUCAAAUGAACCUCAAUGUUAAGAAAGGAGAAGAAUCCCAAAAUAGAGCUUGAAGAACCAUCUACUACCGAUAUACCAAUAACCAACGGAACUUAUUCCAUGCGCUCCAAGACGGCGUUAUUAUGGCGUGCUCUUGGCUUGCAGACUCAUGGCAAUUUACGACGGUUCUGGUGGAGUCAUCAAGAAGGAAAGCAGUGGUAACCCUCACCAAAUCAAAAUCCUUCACCAACCGACAUCAUUUUCAAGUUUGACAUAGAUGGACGGCAUCUGUUUGCGGUAUGUAAGACCAUGGCGUCAGAGAAGAGACAUCGUAAAUGUUACUUGUUCAAGUUCCCUUUAGCAAACCUUUAUUACUUCUAUAUCCCAGACCAAUUGCCUAAAGUACCAGCAGAUCUAGAAACCCAAAGUUGAUGAAAUUUGUCUUGAGGAUUAAUUGAGUUCUACAGUAUCACGACGAAAAGCAUCUAGCACGAUAUCGUUUAAGACUUCACAUUGGCCAGACCUCUGUUCAGAAUGUCUCGGUUUUCCACGCAAACGACAUCAAAUCGUUGAGCGAAUUAUCUUGGAAAGUUCGAAUCCUCUGUGCAUGUCCCAAUGAGAAGAAAUGGUGACCAAAGCCGGCAACCUAGGCAGAGACAGUAAAAUUGGACAAGGAAUUCACCCAAUCUCGUCCACGAUUGCGUAAACGCAAGGUACUAUUUUGCAUUAUAACAAGAGGAACAAAAAAGCUGCUGCUAAUACGACCACCUCAUCUUUCUCGACUUAAGGGCCAUUAGAUAUUUUGGUACUGGAGGUAAACCGAAAUCUAAGACCAUGAAGAAACUCGAUGCUUAUUCCUAAUAGCAAUUGCGCUCACUACAUAAUUCUCUAACCCAUCACUAAAGAACACCACUCCUGCAACACAAACUAAUGUUGUUCAACUUAAUUGGUGUUUACGCAGCUGGGACAACUGGAAUUCCCAUGGGUCGGCGUAUUCAUCACCAUUCAUUCACCACCAUAAAUGAUAACAUAUUUUAGGUUGAUCGCGCAAUGAUGAGUUCAGCUUCGGGACCCCUACCUGGCUGUACUAAUUGCUCUCCAUUGCCUCCGCCACUCCAAUCAAUGUCUUCUGGAAAAUACAGUAUCGCUUCACUGAGAUGUAUACUUUGCCAUUCCAAUGGCAAACUUAAAAGGAAAUGUGCCAUUCC